GACGAACGCUGGCGGCGUGCUUAACACAUGCAAGUCGAACGGAGUGGCGAACGGGCGGGUAACACGUGGGUGACCUGCCCUGCACUUCGGGGUAAGCCUGGGAAACUGGGUCUGAUACCGGAUAGUGUGGGAUGGGCCCGCGGCCAAUCAGCUUGUGGGUGGGGUAAUGGCCUACCAAGGCGGCGACGGGUAGCCGGCCUGAGAGGGUGGACGGCCACAUUGGGACUGAGAGACGGCCCAGACUGCUACGGGAGGCAGCGGGGGGGAAGAUUGCACAACGGGCGGAAGCCUGAUGCAGCGACGCUGCGUGGGGGAUGACGGCCUUCGGGUUGUAAACUCCUUUCACCAUCGACGCGGUAGAUGGAGAAGAAGCACCGGCUAACUACGUGCCAGCAGCCGCGGUAAUUC
rnacentral:rRNA from 1 species